CAAGUCGAGGGGCAGCAUUUCAGUUUGCUUGCAAACUGGAGAUGGCGACCGGCGCACGGGUGAGUAACACGUAUCCAACCUGCGAUAACUCGGGGAUAGCCUUUCGAAAGAAAGAUUAAUACCCGAUGGUAUAAUUAGACCGCAUGGUCUUGUUAUUAAAGAAUUUCGGUUAUCGAUGGGGAUGCGUCCGAUUAGCUUGACGGCGGGGUAACGGCCCACCUAGUCUUCGAUGGAUAGGGGUUCUGAGAGGAAGGUCCCCACAUUGGAACUGAGACACGGUCCAAACUCC
rnacentral:rRNA from 1 species